UACAGAGGUGGCAAGCGUCGUUCGGAAUUACUGGGCGUAAAGGGCGCGUAGGCGGCCUACUAAGUCAGACGUGAAAUCCCCCGGCUUAACCUGGGAACUGCGUCUGAUACUGGAAGGCUUGAGUAUGGGAGAGGGAUGUAGAAUUCCAGGUGUAGCGGUGAAAUGCGUAGAUAUCUGGAGGAAUACCGGUGGCGAAGGCGGCAUCCUGGACCGAGAUUGACGCUGAGGCGCGAAAGCUAGGGGAGCAAACGGG
rnacentral:rRNA from 1 species